GCCUGUGCCUGGGUCCCGGCGACCCUCCUCAGGGCCACCGAAAGGUCUUGGGGCUUGGGGCGGGGGCGGGGGGGGCGGUCCCUGCCCGUGGGAGCCUCCCCGGCCCCGCAGUCCCAGCAGCAAACUGCGCUUGGUCGGACGGGAUGCCCGCGCAGAGGUAAGGACCCUUGGCGGGGUUCGUCUGCACCCCCAUAUGCCCCGCCCCACUCCGGGCCUGCGCGACCUGGACUAGCAGCGCGAACCACUGCAUGCUGCAAAACCUCUCCCGAUGAGCCUCAGGGGGGCGCGCUGCCGCUCCAGACCUUUGAGGGUGUCAGACUUCCGGGGAUGGGUACAGGUCAGGGGCGCCCUGCGACAACUUGGGCAGAACAUCAGCCUUUCCCCAGGGUGGCUGCUUCAACCUCUUUCCUGCAACGAUCUCUGGGCGUUUCUCUAUCUUCUUUCUGCAGUUCAGACCUAGCCGAGGGGGAGGGUAGGGGAGCCUCCGACUCCCUUGGGGAAGAGAACUAAAUGUGCUUGCAGCUUAGCUAUAAGAGGAAUCGACAGUGCUCACAGCACUACCUACCUCUCCUCUCCGCAGAGCCUAAAUGAAAGUUUUGCGCCAAAUGGCGAUGGCGGGUGUGGGGUGAAGUUGGCUGAAACCCCAAUAAGACCUCCUUCGGUUCCUGCAUGCCUGAUUCCGGGGUUAGGUGUCACUCUUUCCACCUUGCCCUCUCCUAACUGAAAGACACAGAGGGCAACGUCAGAGCUGUCUUUCACUCUCCCCUGCCGGAUUUGACAUCGUUUCUGUGACACUGCUUUACGUACAGUUCCAACACCCAUGAUUCUUGAUUUCUAAAUUCACAGUAAAUUGGAAAUCCGAAAUCGGAGGCGUGUGUUCCCCACUGCACCCUCUAUGCUCUUCCCACUGUGUUCCUGUCCCUCCGUUGGGGGUUCUUCUCCCUGCUUUCUCAUUCCUGGGACAUUGCCUUUCCACAAGAGCAUGCUCCUCCUGACCAAAUUUUGACAAGUAGCUCCUUGUCCAGGGUGCUUGCUGGAACUUCCACCACCUUCUCCCUCUCUUGGCAUCUUCAGCCUCACUGUCAAUGUUUUUUCAGUCAGUGAAAUUGACUUAUGAAUACGUGAAUUAAAAAAAGAAGAAGAAGAAGAAGAACAUCGGUUUAAAACACGUUUGAGGUUUGCAUUUAUUUUGCUUUUGAUAUUCACUUCGAUGUAAGAAAGCUCUCAGGGAUUUCCUCUUUCCAUUCCCUAACACUGGAGUCUCCUUUGCAAGCAGGGACCACGAGGAAGGGCGGAAGGGCUCUGCCAGGUGAUCUAUGAAAAGAAAAGGAAAACAUCCAAAGAAACCUUGUCUUACAACAUUUUGUGAAAGCAGUAACAAAAGGGAGCCCUACACACACCAUACAGCCCAUCUGUCCCAGCAUGGUGUGGCCUGGAAGGGCUAGGUGCCUGGGGUCCUCUGACAAAACCUUAGUGUCCUUGGAGAAGCUGAUAUUGACCUCCCUAAUCUCUUUCAGCCCCAGAGAUCUGUCACCGACACUCUGGUUUAUAUGUACAUGUGUCUGUAUGUGUAUGUGUAAGUUUAUGUGUAUAAUUUUGAGACAAGGUUUCUCUAUGUAGCCUUAGCUGUCCUGGAAAUCAUUAUGUAGAUGAGCUAGCUUCAAACUCACAGAAAUCUCCCUGUUUCUUCCCAAGUGCUGCUAUUAAAGGCAUGUGUGACUAUG
rnacentral:lncRNA from 1 species